UACAGAGGGGGCCAGCGUUAUUCGGAAUUAUUGGGCGUAAAGGGCGCGUAGGCGGUCGUGACAAGAUCACUUUGUCGAAAUCUCCGGGCUUAACUCGGAACGGUCAAGUGAUACUGUCGGACUAGAGGUACAGAAGGGGCAACUGGAAUUCUCGGUGUAGCGGUGAAAUGCGUAGAUAUCAGGAGGAACACCGAUGGCGAAGGCAGGUCUCUGGG
rnacentral:rRNA from 1 species